GAUGAACGCUGGCGGCGUGCCUAAUACAUGCAAGUCGAGCGAACAGAUGAGGAGCUUGCUCCUCUGACGUUAGCGGCGGACGGGUGAGUAACACGUGGAUAACCUACCUAUAAGACUGGGAUAACUUCGGGAAACCGGAGCUAAUACCGGAUAAUAUAUUGAACCGCAUGGUUCAAUAGUGAAAGACGGUCUUGCUGUCACUUAUAGAUGGAUCCGCGCCGCAUUAGCUAGUUGGUAAGGUAACGGCUUACCAAGGCAACGAUGCAUAGCCGACCUGAGAGGGUGCGCGGCCACACUGGAACUGAGACCCGGUCCAGACUCCUAGGGGAGGAAGCAGUAGGGAAUCUUCCGCAAUGGGCGAAAGCCUGACGGAGCAACGCCGCGUGAGUGAUGAAGGUCUUCGGAUCGUAAAACUCUGUUAUUAGGGAAGAACAUAUGUGUAAGUAACUGUGCACGUCUUGACGGUACCUAAUCAGAAAGCCACGGCUAACUACGGG
rnacentral:rRNA from 1 species